AUCUAGGUCUGAAUGUAGAGGGGAGAACAGGGCAGGAGGGGUCCUCUGAACCAGCCCUCUCUGCAAUAUAUACCCUUCAGCUCACUGCAUUUAUUGCAUUAUCUCCCUUCUCUGGUUUGCAGUGAAACUGACAAGGUAGAAACAGAUUCUCCAAACUGCAAGAUCCAGGCACUGUCAUUGAGUUAGUAUGUAUCGCAAAAUACAACAGAAACUGCUGGCAAAGCAAGAUCAUGACAGUAUGAAAUUAUGCCUUUGCCACUGAAGUGAGCAUCCGCAUCCAGCACCUUCCUGUAUCGCUGCUGCCCGAUAUAGGGCAUAUCGCAAAGAUGGAUCAAGGAGCCAUUAUGAAGAGUGACAAGCUCAAAAUGAAAGGAGCAGCUGCCGUUCUAUUAAUGCAGUGAUAAAAUAAUAAACAUUAUGUUUCCCAUGUUUAG